rnacentral:lncRNA from 12 species
GCCGCUGUCGCCGAGCCAGAGCCGUGUUUAAACAAGCCAUAAAAAUGAAUUAUUACCAAACGCAUGCAGAGACCCGGCCCCUUUUAGCCCAGGAAUUGGGGAGUCCCGUAUGAAAAUGUAAGUGGGGUUUUAUUUGUGCACAUUACGCCACAAUUGGGUCUCCUUAAUGUCCGUCUCAUUCAUGCCACGGAGUGAUUUAUGAGCUCCUGAAGGCAAACAUGGCUC